rnacentral:rRNA from 1 species
AUUGAACGCUGGCGGCAGGCCUAACACAUGCAAGUCGAGCGAGCGGCGGACGGGUGAGUAAUGUAUGGGGACUUGACCGAUAGAGGGGGAUAACUACUGGCAACGGUGGCUAAUACCGCUUACUAUCGGAUGUACCCAUAUGGGAUUAGCUAGUAGGUGGGGUAAAGGCGCACCAAGGCGACGAUCACUAGCUGGUCUGAGAGGAUGAUCAGCAACACUGGGACGGAGACACGGCCCAGACUCCUACGGGAGGCAGCAGUGGGGAAUAUUGCGCAAGGGGGGCAAGCCUGACGCAGCCAUGCCGCGUGAAUGAAGAAGGCCUUCGGGUUGUAAAGUUCUUUCGGUAGCGAGGCGUUAACUACAGAAGAAGCACCGGCUAACUCCGUGCCAGCCGCCGCGGUAAUAC